CGAGCCGGGCGGACGGCCGCGUGGAGAUCCAUCGGAUCUUCCCGAGGAACGUCCGGGCUCCACAAGGCAGGGUGGUGGCCAACAGCCACCCGGGGUGACCCGCGGGACAGUGCCACAGAAAACAGACCGCCGGGGACCUCGGUCCUCGGUAAGGGUGAAACGGUGGUGUAAGAGACCACCAGCGCCUGAGGUGACUCAGGCGGCUAGGUAAACCCCACCCGGAGCAAGGUCAAGAGGGAGCGCCCCGGUGCUCCUGCGCGGACGUUCGAGGGCAGCCUGCCCGAGUCCGCGGGUAGACCGCACGAGGCCGGCGGCAACGCCGGUCCUAGAUGGAUGGCCGUCGCCCCGACGACCGCGAGGUCCCGGGGCACAGAACCCGGCGUACAGCCCGACUCGUCUG
rnacentral:RNase_P_RNA from 1 species